CUUUGUUCCACAAGGCUCCUCUGCUCACGGCUGCGUGGAUAAAACCCAAAGGGAAUCCAGAAUCAAGCUCGGCCUCGCAGGAGUUUAUAACUUUUGUACUUUUCCCUCCCUUGUAACGAAAAGCUAAUCGCAAACGUUUCUAGGAACACAUUUUUCUCCUGAUAGACGUUCCCAAGGUGGAGGGCGCGAGAAGACUGGCCCGUGGGGUGAGGAGCCCCGGCCCGACCUCAGCGGCGCCACAAAGCCAUGAAGAGGGGAAAUAAUUUUCCAAGGGGCUAAGAGUUGGACUUUCUGAAGCCAUCGAAACCUGCUGCUAGGCUCUCCCGCUGGGGUUUUGAGAGAGGUAAAGAAAUUGAGUUCCAGAAGAGUAAUUGACACAAUUGCCCCAUGUCACACAACACGGUGGUAUUGAAAGAGACAAGAAGGAAAGUUUCCUAACUUCAAACUUUGUGCUUUCUCCACUAUCCCGUGAGAGAAUUUGGACUGGCUACAAGCAAGGGGCACAGGGAGAGCUCUCCCUGAAGUUCUGACUGAGGGAAUUCCUUCCAAAAGAAACACAAUUGUCUUCAAUCUCCUGUCUGAAAUCUCACUAACCAGGGAAGAUUAAUCACCAAAGAAGAAAUUAAAGAUUAUCAGCUGGGCCCGGUGGCUCAUGCCUAUAAGCUCAGCACUUUGAGAGGCCAAGGCGGGAGGAUGGCUUGAGCCUAGGAGUCCGAGACCAGCCUGGGCAAUAUAGUGAGACUCCAUCUCUACAAAAAAUAAUAGCUGGGUGAGUUGGUGCACAUCUGUAGUCCCAGCUACUCAGGAGGCUGAGACAGGAGAGUCACUUGAGCUGGGCGGAGGCUGCAGUGAGCUGUGAUCGUGCCACUGCACUUCAGCCAGGGCAACAAAGCAAGACCCCUCAAAAAAAAUUAAAAGAAAAGAUUGUCCCCACAUAGUCCCAGACACACUUUUCAUCUAUUCUUCUGAGGAAUGGUGCCUGAGAGACUUUAUCUGCGUAAUUAGACAGCCUUUGUUCACAGUGCAAUUCUGCCACUAAACUUCUCAUAAAUUGUCACCAUCUCUCUCAGAGCCCAGACUAACUUUGUCCCAGGCUAUUGUCUGUUCUUUGAGCCAAUUCAUCUCCCCUAAAAAUUAUCUAUUCUUCCUCUAAAAUUACCUACAUCCCCUCCUUCCCUCUGCCUUAUGAAGAAGGUAUUUAACCUUCAAUAAUCUGGCCCUUCUUUGAGUUUUAUACUUUGUCUGACUCCCAUGUGCUUGUACAUUUAUAAAUUUGUAUGCCUGUUCUCCCAUUAAUCUGUCUAUUGUAAGUUUGUUUAUAGAUUCGAAUUCUCAAACCUUCAGGAGGUGAAAAGAAAGUUCCUUUUGCCCUUACAACAACGUGAGACUAGCUCUGAAGUUUUCAUUAGCUAUGUGAAGCUUAUAUCUCAGAAUAGCCUCACAUACACUGGUAAAGAUUAGCAGGUCAUUUGGGCUGAUGGCAUAGUCUGGAAUAACAGAGGAGGAAAUAAAAUUUUAAAAGCUCAUGAACCCAAGAGUAUGAUCUUCAGAGGAGAGAUUUCCUAUCUCUUAAAUUCUACGUAAAUAGUGAAGUCCUAUAUGGGGGGGAUCCUUCAUCUGGGGCCUACCUUGGGCAGAAUAAUGUAGUUGUACCUCAUUCUAUCAUAGCUAAAAGACAAAGUACUUUUUAAGACUUUGCAAAAUUUUGUUCAUGUUGCGUAUCUUUUUAAAGUCUGACUCUCUGCACUAAAAUAGGAUAGCCUAAACAGGGCUCUUUUCGGAGUAAAAUUAUUAUGAGCCCAGUAGUUUUCCCAGUAAGUAAGCUAUCAGAACUUACAAAAAUAUGAGACAGAGCUUUGCAGAUGUAGCUAGAGAAAGGUCAGUUGGUGGACUUGAACUUGUUUUUAGUUUAUUUAUGUAUUCUCCAAUACUCUAGACUGUUCUAGAAAUCACUAGAGAGAAAUAAUGGUGGUAUUCCAUGCCUAUGAUACAUCACAGACUACAUUUGGAGGACUGCAGAAAGAAGCAAAAACAGAAGUUUCCAUAAUGAGUGGUAGAGAUGUGCUAAAUGUCUUCUUUUUCAAACUUUAAUUUUUAAUUUUUAAUUUUUUUUAGAGAUGUGAUAUUGCUAUAUUGCCCAGGCUAUAGUGCAGUGACUAUUCACAGGUGCAGUCAUAGUACACUGCAACCCUGAACUCCUGGGCUCCAGCAAUCCUCCUGCCUAAGCAUCCUGAGUAGUUAGAACUACAGGUGCAUGCCACAAUACUGGGCUUAAUGCCUUCUUUACUGAUCCUUGAUGGUAAAGGGGAAGACCAUUUUAGAACCUUUGAUUCCUUGGACAUAAUCCCAUGGUACUGCUCUUUAAUAAAGAUAAAUUAUAAGGAAUUGGAUUCUAUAGGGAAGAAAUGGAUGGAAGUUGUAACAAAAUGUAAUAGUAAUGAAAUAUUAAUAGAAAGGCCUAAAUAGAAUCUGUGGCAUAACUCUCAAAAUAGUCCUUUAAUAACCUCCUUUUGAAAAUAUCAAGGUUAAGACCUAGAGACGUAAAGUCCUGCCCAAAGUCAAUUGUCUGGUUAGUGGCACACAGAGCACUAAAGUUUACAUCAGCAGGUUCCCAGUUCAGUACAUCUUCUAGAGCUUCUAAAAAUUAAUGUGAAGAUAGUCUUUGCUCUAUUGAAGCAUAAUUAUAAACAUCAAAUAUUUGUAAAAUAUCUUCUAUAUAGUAGGAUGUUUUUCCUUUUAUUUAUUAGUAAAUUUACCACAAUAUUAAUUUAGUUAGUAAAUUAGAAUUUUUCUUUCCCAUUCAUCAUUUAUGUCACCAGCAGGUAAUCCUACUCCAUCCUCCCACCACAUCUCAUUUCAUUAUCACCUGGCCUCCAGAGGGUGGAAUCACUUGGGCACUGCUCAAGCUUAUGAGAUCUUAAAAUUUAUUUUUAAAAUAUUUCAAAUCAAAAAGUUUUUGAGCUGUGAAAUUUAAUAAGAUAUUGAGCUUUCUUCUAGCCUUUUAUCCACUAAUUCUACUCUUAGAAAUUACUUCCUAAAAAAAUACUUUUUAAGAAAACCACACACACACAAAAUGUCCUCUAACUUUGUUCUUUUUUCUUCCAAGUUGUUUUGUCUGUUCUAGAUCUUCUGCACUUUAAUUUAAACUUUAGAGUCAGCUUGCUACUUCUACAAAGUAGCUGGCUGGGAUUUCUAUUAGAAUGCCUUGAAUAUACAGAUCAAUUUGGAAGAAAUGACGUCUUAACAAUAUAGAGUCAUCUAAUCUAGGAAUAUGGUAUAUUUCUUAAUUGACUUAGGUCUUCUUUAACAUUUAAUUUUACUCAGCAAUGUUUUAUAGUUUUCAGUGUACAGGUCUUGAACAUCUUUUGUCGAAUUUAUCCUUAAGUAUUUUACAGUUUUGAUGCCACUGUACAUGGCAAACUUUAAUUUUAAUUUCUGAUUGUUUAUUGCUAAUAUAAAGAAAUGCAAUUGGUUUUUGAUAUUGACUUUGUACCCUGCCACUGAACUAAACUCACUUUCAGUUUUAACAGCUUAUUUGCAGAUUCUUUAGGGUUUUUUGAUAGAUGACAAUAUCGUCUGUGAAUAAACAGAGAUUUAUGUCUCCCUUUCCAGUCUAUU
rnacentral:lncRNA from 1 species